AGCUGAAGACAGUGGUGCAGAAAAGGAUGUAGUGCUUGUGGUAGAGAGGCAGCACAGUGGAGCAGUGUGGGAAACCCCGCAAGCAGUUCCAGCCCAUGAUGGGCAGGCCGCCCAGGAACAUGGACAGGAGCCAGCAGCCGCUGAUGAGCAGGAAGACACGCGAGCUGCCUCCCGAGCUGUGCGGCUUCAUCUUCAGCAUGGUCAGGUAGCGCUCGAUAGCGAUGGCCAGCAGGCUGAGCACCGAGGCAGCCAAGGCCACAAACAUACUGCCUUCCCUCAGGAACCACUGCACCGGGGUCAGUCUGUAGGUGUUAGAGCCUGACAACAGGAUGUUGACAGUGUAGGCGGCGCCGGCCAGCAGGUCCGACAGUGCCAGGUUGCCAAUGAAGUAGUACAUGGCCCGGUGGAACUUUUUGGUCUGCCAGAUGGCCAACAGCACCAUGAGGUUCUCCAGGAUGAUGAAGCAGCAGAUGACAAUGAAGAAUAUGGACGAGACGGUGAGUCCAGCCGCCAGGCCAUCGGAGCUGACCCUCAGCUUGCCGGUGUAGUUGUAAUGCUGCAGGAUGAUGUCCGGGUCCGUGUAGCUGUAGCCAGUGUACGCCGCGUGGCGCUGCCUGCCCGUCUCCAUCCUAAUUCACUUCGUUGUUGUUGUUGUUGUUGAAGCAGCUGGCGCGCCCCUGUUGGCCGGCAGAUGGCGCCGCGAUUGGCGGGUCAGUGAGGAGCUGCGGGACGACCAUGGGCCAUCGCCACUUCAGCCUGGAAAACAACAACAACCCGCGAGUUUACAAAACCAUCCCAAACGUAAUGUCUUCAAGAUGCAAAAGGCAAUCCUCCGAAUUUCACUGAAUUGCACAGAUUGUGGAUCAUAAUCUGAUACUACCAAGUCCAAAUCCUAUGUGGUUCAAUGGCAUCUUGAUUUGGCUUAUCUGUUGGAACCAUCUCAAAAUCACCCAGCUUGGAUGCACAGUAUACAGAUAGGUCCUGGUGGAGUGAAAGGGAUGAACAGGGGCCAGCAGCAGUUCACAUCCUGCUUUGGAGAAAGGAGAAGUGCCCUUCCUCC